rnacentral:rRNA from 1 species
GUACACUCCUGCGGGAGGCAGCAGUGGGGAAUAUUGCACAAUGGGCGCAAGCCUGAUGCAGCCAUGCCGCGUGUAUGAAGAAGGCCUUCGGGUUGUAAAGUACUUUCAGCGGGGAGGAAGGCAAUACGGUUAAUAACCGUGUUGAUUGACGUUACCCGCAGAAGAAGCACCGGCUAACUCCGUGCCAGCAGCCGCGGUAAUACGGAGGGUGCAAGCGUUAAUCGGAAUUACUGGGCGUAAAGCGCACGCAGGCGGUCUGUCAAGUCGGAUGUGAAAUCCCCGGGCUCAACCUGGGAACUGCAUUCGAAACUGGCAGGCUUGAGUCUUGUAGAGGGGGGUAGAAUUCCAGGUGUAGCGGUGAAAUGCGUAGAGAUCUGGAGGAAUACCGGUGGCGAAGGCGGCCCCCUGGACAAAGACUGACGCUCAGGUGCGAAAGCGUGGGGAGCAAACAGGAUUAGAUACCCUUGUAGUCCCAUGAU